AAAGGAAUAGACGGGGGCCCGCACAAGCAGUGGAGUAUGUGGUUUAAUUCGAAGCAACGCGAAGAACCUUACCAGGGCUUGACAUCCCUCGAAUAACGUAGAGAUACGUUAGUCCUUCGGGACGAGGAGACAGGUGGUGCAUGGUUGUCGUCAGCUCGUGUCGUGAGAUGUUGGGUUAAGUCCCGCAACGAGCGCAACCCUUGUUGUUAGUUGCCAGCAGGUAAAGCUGGGCACUCUAACGAGACUGCCGGUGACAAAUCGGAGGAAGGUGGGGAUGAUGUCAAAUCAUCAUGCCCCUUAUGUCCUGGGCUACACACGUACUACAAUGGCUACAACAGAAGGAAGCGAUACCGCGAGGUGGAGCAAAUCCAGAAAAAGUAGUCUCAGUUCGGAUUGAGGGCUGCAACUCGCCCUCAUGAAGUCGGAAUUGCUAGUAAUGGCAGGUCAGCAUACUGCCGUGAAUACGUUCCCGGGCCUUGUACACACCGCCCGU
rnacentral:rRNA from 1 species